rnacentral:rRNA from 1 species
AUUGAACGCUGGCGGCAGGCCUAACACAUGCAAGUCGAGCGGGGUUUUCGGACCUAGCGGCGGACGGGUGAGUAAUGCGUAGGAAGCUACCCGACAGAGGGGGAUACCAGUUGGAAACGACUGUUAAUACCGCAUAAUGUCUACGGACCAAAGUGUGGGACCUUCGGGCCACAUGCUGUCGGAUGCGCCUACGUGGGAUUAGCUAGUUGGUGAGGUAAUGGCUCACCAAGGCGACGAUCCCGUAGCUGGUUUGAGAGGAUGAUCAGCCACACUGGAACUGAGACACGGUCCAGACUCCUACGGGAGGCAGCAGUGGGGAAUAUUGGACAAUGGGCGCAAGCCUGAUCCAGCCAUGCCGCGUGUGUGAAGAAGGCUUCGGUU